rnacentral:rRNA from 1 species
AGUGAACGCUGGCGGUAGGCCUAACACAUGCAAGUCGAACGGCAGCACAGUAAGAGCUUGCUCUUACGGGUGGCGAGUGGCGGACGGGUGAGGAAUACAUCGGAAUCUACUUUUUCGUGGGGGAUAACGUAGGGAAACUUACGCUAAUACCGCAUACGACCUACGGGUGAAAGCAGGGGAUCUUCGGACCUUGCGCGAUUGAAUGAGCCGAUGUCGGAUUAGCUAGUUGGCGGGGUAAAGGCCCACCAAGGCGACGAUCCGUAGCUGGUCUGAGAGGAUGAUCAGCCACACUGGAACUGAGACACGGUCCAGACUCCUACGGGAGGCAGCAGUGGGGAAUAUUGGACAAUGGGCGCAAGCCUGAUCCAGCCAUACCGCGUGGGUGAAGAAGGCCUUCGGGUUGUAAAGCCCUUUUGUUGGGAAAGAAACGCGGCAGGUUAAUACCCCGCUGUUCUGACGGUACCCAAAGAAUAAGCACCGGCUAACUUCGUG